UGUCCUGGAACUUGUAGACCAGGCUGGCCUCGAACUCACAGAGAUAACCCUGCCUCUGCCUCCCGAUACUGGGAUUAAAGGCGUGCACCACCAACGCCCGGCCACGUAUGGAUGUUUUGCCUACAUGGAUGUACAUGCAUACCCGGUGCAAAGAGAGUCAGAUCCCGUCGAACUGGAGUUGCAGAUGUUGUGAGCCACCAUGUGGGUGCUGGGCAUUGAAGCUGGGUCCUCUCAAGAGCAACAGUUGCUCUACAUGUGCUUGCAUGACCUUGCCCCUCCCGUCCUGGUCACUAGGAGGUUGAUGCCCUCUUCGUGGCCAGGAGCCAAUCAGAAGUUAGUGGUGGGCCUGUGCUUUACGGCUCUGGGUGUGCUUUUCAGACAAGUGCACAACAGUGACAUGCAGAGCAUAGCAACCACCCUGGGAGGGCCUAUGGGCCAUAGCAACCAGCUGACCAAUCAACACAGGGUAGGUAGUCCAAGCCUGGAAGCGCACCAAUCCUGAGACUGUUGUGUACUCCUAGCCACUCCCCUUACGGUGCCCUAUAAGAUGCCUGCCUCGUGGGUUCUCGGGGUCUUUCGGCAGCCUUCCCCCGUGGUGGGUGGGUGGAUGGAUGAAAGGCCUGAGCUAAUGGGGUUAGCUCAUUAAACUACAACAAUGAAAGACUCUUUACUUUUGCAUCGAAAUGGGCCUCUUGGUGAUUUUGGGGGUUCCGGAUUUGGGCACAACAACUGGUCCACCUCUCCCCCAUCUUCAUGUUCUGUCUUUGCUGUUAAAGUGGAGAGUGCAGUAAGUAUGUGGAGAGUGAUUGGAGCGCAUCAGUAGUUGAUUAAACUUGAACUGUGCGUAGAAAUGGACAUCCUUGUCCGUUUGCAGUGCUACACAGAAAGACCCUGGACCAGGGACCUUGUCAACAAUAGAAAUCAAGUUCGUAGAGUUCUGGAGUCGGGAUGCCAGCAUGGCAGGGUCCGGUGAAGACUCUUUUGACAACAUUUCUCUGUAUCCUCACUGAUUCAGCAUCGGGUUCUCUGGGUCUCUUUUAUCAAGGCGUGAAUGCAUUCACAGGGACUUACGGCCUAAUCGAUUCCGAUGACUCCUGCUUCCUGGUAUCACCACACAGCGGUUUCAGUUUCAACAUGGACAUUUUGGUGGAAAGCCCAGCAGUGGGUAUGACUGAUUGAAUAGAAAGUAUACUUAAGUUCAUUCUAAGAAGUAAUAAUACAUUUUCCCCGAACAAGUCUUGAAAUUAAAAAAAAAGAAAUUUCUUUUUUUUCUCCAAGAAGAGGUCUGGUUCACACGGUGGCAUCAGGGAGAUGCUCCCUUGUGGAGUCUUGUGGUGACACGUGGUGCAAGGCUUGCCACAGGGUUACCCCUCACCCAUCCCUGGGCUUUGUCAAGAUGCAGGCAGAGGUUGGUUCUCAAGAAGCAAUCGGUGGCGUCACGCAGCUCCCUGGGGAAAGCCUUCACUGUCGGAAUCACGUGCAGCCCACAGUCACAGGUUUGUGGACCAGUGUUCCAGGGAUGUCACCACCCACGAUGGGCUGGACCCUCCUCAUGCAUCACUAACUGAGAAAAUGUCCUACAGGCUGGUAGUACAGCCCGAUCUGACGGAGACCUCCUUUCGGUGACUCUAGCUUUUGUCAAGUUAGUGUAAAACUAGCCAGGAUGGCUAGGAAGCAGUUAAUUAAAGAGAGAAGGAAAGCUGAAGAUGGGUACCGAGCCACCAAUAUUCCGGGAAGUGAAGUCGUACGAUACUUCAUUAGAGAGAGAAACCGAGAAUGGAGGUCAGCGCUCUGCUGGCCCCUGACCGCGACCCCAGCCCCAAGAGAGAGUCUGACUCCUCCUUCCUUGACCUUGACCUUCACCUCUGCCUCUCCCCACCCAUUUGGCGUGGUCAGUGCUGCAGCAGCAGCCGAGAAGCGCAGAGGGUGAGCAGAGGAGGUUCCAGCAAGCCCUCACGCCUCUAACCGAUGCCGGAGCCCCAGUGUCAUAGCCCUGUUCCUUCAGUUUGAAGUCUGCGAGUCGCUCAUAAAAGUUCCCACCGGUGGUGGUGAAAGGUUCAGGCAUUAGGCUGGCCUGCCCUGUUACCUGGCAGGAUGCACUCAGGCAGCUCUCUGGCCAGCCCAGAGUUCUGUGAGAACCACACAGAUGCAAAGGACCCCUUUAAAGGACUAAC